rnacentral:rRNA from 1 species
UGGGGAAUAUUGGACAAUGGGGGAAACCCUGAUCCAGCCAUACCGCGUGUGUGAAGAAGGCCUUCGGGUUGUAAAGCACUUUCAGUGGGGAGGAAAAGGUUCUGGCUAAUAUCCAGGAUCCCUGACGUUACCCAAAGAAGAAGCACCGGCAAACUCCGUGCCAGCAGCCGCGGUAAUACGGAGGGUGCAAGCGUUAAUCGGAAUUACUGGGCGUAAAGCGCACGUAGGCGGUUUGGUAAGCUGGAUGUGAAAUCCCCGGGCUCAACCUGGGAACUGCAUCCAGAACUGCCAGGCUAGAGUAUGGUAGAGGGCAGUGGAAUUUCCGGUGUAGCGGUGAAAUGCGUAGAUAUCGGAAGGAACACCAGUGGCGAAGGCGGCUGCCUGGACCAAUACUGACGCU